AUGGCGGCCAAGAACCCCAAGGUCUUCUUCGACAUCCUCAUCGGCCAGGCCAAGGCGGGGCGGGUCAUCAUGGAGCUCUACGCCGACAAGGUGCCCAGGACGGCGGCCAACUUCCGGCAGCUCUGCACGGGCGAGGCCGGCCUGGGCAAGAGCGGCAAGCCGCUGCACUACAAGGGGUCGGCCUUCCACCGCAUCAUCCCGGGCUUCAUGUGCCAGGGCGGCGACUUCACCCGCGGCAACGGCACCGGCGGCGAGUCGGUCUACGGCGAAAAGUUCGCCGACGAGAACUUCCUCCUCCGCCACACGGGCCCCGGCGUGCUCUCCAUGGCCAACGCCGGGCCCGGCACCAACGGCUCCCAGUUCUUCAUCUGCACCGCCAAGACGCCCUGGCUGGACGGCAAGCACGUCGUGUUCGGGCAGGUCGUGGAUGGGUACGGCGUCGUGGAGAAGAUGGAGGCCGUCGGGUCGUCCGGCGGCGCCACCGCCGAGCCCGUCGUCAUCGAGGACUGCGGCCAGCUCGCCGACGGCGACCAGAGCUGA
rnacentral:rRNA from 1 species